rnacentral:rRNA from 1 species
GACGAACGCUGGCGGCGUGCCUAACACAUGCAAGUCGAACGGAACUAAGUUUUCGGAUUUAGUUUAGUGGCGAACGGGUGAGUAACGCGUGAGGAACCUGCCUUUCAGUGGGGGACAACAGUUGGAAACGACUGCUAAUACCGCAUGAUGCAUCGGGAAGACAUCUUCCUGAUGCCAAAGAUUUAUCGCAUAAGGAUGGACUCGCGUCUGAUUAGAUAGUUGGUGGGGCAACGGCCUACCAAGUCGACGAUCAGUAGCCGGACUGAGAGGUUGAACGGCCACAUUGGAACUGAGAGACGGUCCAG